rnacentral:piRNA from 1 species
GCUGUGAGGCGACUGCGGGCAGGUAAGAG